rnacentral:ncRNA from 2 species
CGACUCCCCACUGGAGAGAGGUGCGCGGCCACAUCAGCCAAGCAUCCACCGAAGGAGCAACCUGCCACGGCAGCGAAUCUCUCAGGUAAAGCGGACAGCGGGGGCAGC